UACGUAGGGUGCGAGCGUUAAUCGGAAUUACUGGGCGUAAAGCGUGCGCAGGCGGUUUUGUAAGCCAGAUGUGAAAUCCCCGGGCUUAACCUGGGAAUGGCAUUUGGGACUGCAAGGCUCGAGUGCGGCAGAGGAGACUGGAAUUCCUGGUGUAGCAGUGAAAUGCGUAGAUAUCAGGAGGAACACCGGUGGCGAAGGCGGUGCUCUGGGCCGAAACUGACGCUGAGGAGCGAAAGCGUGGGUAGCAAACAGG
rnacentral:rRNA from 1 species